ACAUGCAAGUCGAACGGUGAAAGCGGAGCUUGCUCUGCUGGAUCAGUGGCGAACGGGUGAGUAACACGUGAGCAAUCUGCCCCUGACUCUGGGAUAAGCGCUGGAAACGGCGUCUAAUACUGGAUACGAGCUGCGAAGGCAUCUUCAGCAGCUGGAAAGAACUUCGGUCAGGGAUGAGCUCGCGGCCUAUCAGCUUGUUGGUGAGGUAACGGCUCACCAAGGCGUCGACGGGUAGCCGGCCUGAGAGGGUGACCGGCCACACUGGGACUGAGACACGGCCCAGACUCCUACGGGAGGCAGCAGUGGGGAAUAUUGCACAAUGGGCGCAAGCCUGAUGCAGCAACGCCGCGUGAGGGACGACGGCCUUCGGGUUGUAAACCUCUUUUAGCAGGGAAGAAGCGAAAGUGACGGUACCUGCAGAAAAAGCGCCGGCUAACUACGUGCCAGCAGCCGCGGUAAUACGUAGGGCGCAAGCGUUAUCCGGAAUUAUUGGGCGUAAAGAGCUCGUAGGCGGUUUGUCGCGUCUGCUGUGAAAACCCGAGGCUCAACCUCGGGCCUGCAGUGGGUACGGGCAGACUAGAGUGCGGUAGGGGAGAUUGGAAUUCCUGGUGUAGCGGUGGAAUGCGCAGAUAUCAGGAGGAACACCGAUGGCGAAGGCAGAUCUCUGGGCCGUAACUGACGCUGAGGAGCGAAAGGGUGGGGAGCAAACAGGCUUAGAUACCCUGGUAGUCCACCCCGUAAACGUUGGGAACUAGUUG
rnacentral:rRNA from 1 species